rnacentral:rRNA from 1 species
UACGUAGGGUGCAAGCGUUAAUCGGAAUUACUGGGCGUAAAGCGUGCGCAGGCGGUUUUGUAAGACAGGCGUGAAAUCCCCGGGCUCAACCUGGGAAUGGCGCUUGUGACUGCAAAGCUGGAGUGCGGCAGAGGGGGAUGGAAUUCCGCGUGUAGCAGUGAAAUGCGUAGAUAUGCGGAGGAACACCAAUGGCGAAGGCAAUCCCCUGGGCCUGCACUGACGCUCAUGCACGAAAGCGUGGGGAGCAAACGGG